rnacentral:tRNA from 1 species
CAUUAAGUGGCUGAAAG